UCAGAUGUUCAACCGACUAAGCUACCCAGGUGCCCCCCAGAAAUGUAGUGCUUUUACAAUGCAUGAACUUAAGUGACCAUCAAAUUAGACUGCUAUAUACAUAAGAUGUUAUAUAUGAACCUCAUGCUAACCGCAAACCAAAUACCUUUGAUACACAAAAAAUAAAGAGGAAGGAGUCCAAGAAUAACACUAAAGAAACGCACCAAAUCACAAAGAAAGAGAACAAAAGAAGGAUAAAAGAACAGAGAAGAACUACAAAACCACAAGAAAGCAAUCAACAAAAUGGCAAUAAAAUGCUGUUGGAGGAUAUGCUCCACAAAAAUAAGGGGAUAAACCAAGAAAGGACGUAUGUGAUCCAUGAACCUCCAACACAGGAGGGAAUCAAACAGGAUCCCAAAACGAGUAAUCUCUACACCCAACGUGGGGCUUGAACUCAUGACCCUGAGAUCAAGAAUCGCAUGCUCCACCCACUGAGCCAGAUUGGUGUCCCCAUUUGGGUAAGACUCCAAAUAAAACCAAACAUUGUUUUACUUCUCUUCCAAAUCCCUUAAUUUUAUAGCCUUUUGGAGCAAAAAAGCAGUAAUCCAUCUUAUUGAAACCAAAAAUAUGUAAAUU